rnacentral:rRNA from 1 species
AGGUAAGCUACUAAGAGCGAAUGGUGGAUGCCUUGACUGGUAAAGGCGAUGAAGGACGUACUAGACUGCGAUAAGCUACGGGGAGCUGUCAAGAAGCUUUGAUCCGUAGAUUUCCGAAUGGGGCAACCCAAUGUAUAGAGAUAUACAUUACCUAUAUAGGAGCGAACGAGGGGAAUUGAAACAUCUUAGUACCCUCAGGAAAAGAAAUCAAUAGAGAUUGCGUCAGUAGCGGCGAGCGAAAGCGCAAGAGGGCAAACCCAGUGCUUGCACUGGGGGUUGUAGGACUGCAAUGUGCAAGAGGUAAGUUUAGCAGAACAUUCUGGAAAGUAUAACCAUAGAGGGUGAUAGUCCCGUAUGCGAAAAACAAACCUUAGCUAGCAGUAUCCUGAGUAGGGCGGGACACGAGGAAUCCUGUCUGAAUCCGGGUCGACCACGAUCCAACCCUAAAUACUAAUACCAGAUCGAUAGUGCACAAGUACCGUGAGGGAAAGGUGAAAAGAACUGAGGUGAUCAGAGUGAAAUAGAACCUGAAACCAUUUGCUUACAAUCAUUCAGAGCCCUAUGUAGCAAUACAGGGUGAUGGACUGCCUUUUGCAUAAUGAGCCUGCGAGUUGUGGUGUCUGGCAAGGUUAAGCAAACGCGAAGCCGUAGCGAAAGCGAGUCUGAAUAGGGCGCUUAGUCAGAUGCUGCAGACCCGAAACGAAGUGAUCUAUCCAUGAGCAAGUUGAAGCUAGUGUAAGAACUAGUGGAGGACUGAACCCAUAGGCGUUGAAAAGCCCCGGGAUGACUUGUGGAUAGGGGUGAAAGGCCAAUCAAACUUCGUGAUAGCUGGUUCUCUCCGAAAUAUAUUUAGGUAUAGCGUUGUGUCGUAAUAUAAGGGGGUAGAGCACUGAAUGGGCUAGGGCAUACACCAAUGUACCAAACCCUAUCAAACUCCGAAUACCUUAUAUGUAAUCACAGCAGUCAGGCGGCGAGUGAUAAAAUCCGUCGUCAAGAGGGAAACAACCCAGACUACCAGCUAAGGUCCCUAAAUCUUACUUAAGUGGAAAACGAUGUGAAGUUACUUAAACAACCAGGAGGUUGGCUUAGAAGCAGCCAUCCUUUAAAGAAAGCGUAAUAGCUCACUGGUCUAGUGAUUUUGCGCGGAAAAUAUAACGGGGCUAAAGUAAGUACCGAAGCUGUAGACUUAGUUUACUAAGUGGUAGGAGAGCGUUCUAUUUGCGUCGAAGGUAUACCGGUAAGGAGUGCUGGAGCGAAUAGAAGUGAGCAUGCAGGCAUGAGUAGCGAUAAUUAAUGUGAGAAUCAUUAACGCCGUAAACCCAAGGUUUCCUACGCGAUGCUCGUCAUCGUAGGGUUAGUCGGGUCCUAAGUCGAGUCCGAAAGGGGUAGACGAUGGCAAAUUGGUUAAUAUUCCAAUACCAACAUUAGUGUGCGAUGGAAGGACGCUUAGGGCUAAGGGGGCUAGCGGAUGGAAGUGCUAGUCUAAGGUCGUAGGAGGUUAUACAGGCAAAUCCGUAUAACAAUACUCCGAGAACUGAAAGGCUUUUUGAAGUCUUCGGAUAGAUAGAAGAACCCCUGAUGCCGUCGAGCCAAGAAAAGUUUCUAAGUUUAGCUAAUGUUGCCCGUACCGUAAACCGACACAGGUGGGUGGGAUGAGUAUUCUAAGGCGCGUGGAAGAACUCUCUUUAAGGAACUCUGCAAAAUAGCACCGUAUCUUCGGUAUAAGGUGUGGUUAGCUUUGUAUUAGGAUUUACUCCGAAAGCAAGGAAACUUACAACAAAGAGUCCCUCCCGACUGUUUACCAAAAACACAGCACUCUGCUAACUCGUAAGAGGAUGUAUAGGGUGUGACGCCUGCCCGGUGCUCGAAGGUUAAUUGAUGGGGUUAGCAUUAGCGAAGCUCUUGAUCGAAGCCCGAGUAAACGGCGGCCGUAACUAUAACGGUCCUAAGGUAGCGAAAUUCCUUGUCGGUUAAAUACCGACCUGCAUGAAUGGCGUAACGAGAUGGGAGCUGUCUCAAAGAGGGAUCCAGUGAAAUUGUAGUGGAGGUGAAAAUUCC